rnacentral:piRNA from 1 species
AUCGUUGGGUGCAUCAAAAGUUU